AAGACAUCAAAAAUUUUAUUAUCUCAACUUUAUAAUUUUAAUAUUUCGAACCGGGUGUAUCUAGUGAGAGGGAGAGACAGGUGGAAGUGUCUUGGUUCGAGCCAAAGAGGUCAAUAGAAGAGGCUUUUAUCCCUGACAAAAGGCAAAUGAUGGUUGUAUCGAAAGGCAAGCAUGCAUUUCAGAGGUAUGGGGGAAUUACCAUUUGAGAACCUAGUUCUUGUUUUGCUUAUAGGAGUCCCUCACCUGAAAGGAUCUUUAGGGAUACUCCACCUGCUACUCCGAGGGGUAAUCCAUUUGUUACUUUUCCUCAGAGGCAUCCUCAUUUUGGAAGCACUCUUUUUGACACCUCAAAUUAGAAUAUUCCUUUCAAAAAGGCUCAUCCCAUCACCCUUCUUCCCACUGUACAAUUUACCUCCAACAUUACUAAAGGUGCUAAUGAGAGUGAGCAUCAGAAUGGUAUGCACAAAUUUGUUUAUGUUUUUUUGGAGGCUCCCAUCCAGAAGGAAGCAAGGCGCAACUCUUCUUAAGUUGCUGUAGGCAGUUGAAACAAUGUUUUGAUUAAGGCAUGCUGGAGAAGCUUCUAGAAGGGGAAAAGGGGAUGUACGAGCAUUAAAUACGCAAUCUGAAAGUUGUUUACGGGGAAGCUUUCUAUCACUGGUUAAUAGUUGGGAAGACUGAUUGCUUGAAACAUUUCAUGUAAUCGAGGUUUUUCCUAUAAAACCUUUCCUUUUCCUUUGAA